rnacentral:rRNA from 1 species
GUACACGCCGUAAACGAUGGAAGCUAGCCGUUGGUGGGUUUACUCAUCAGUGGCGCAGCUAACGCAUUAAGCUUCCCGCCUGGGGAGUACGGUCGCAAGAUUAAAACUCAAAGGAAUUGACGGGGCCCGCACAAGCGGUGGAGCAUGUGGUUAAAUUCGAAGCAACGCGAAGAACCUUACCAACCUUUGACAUGCCUCGUAUGGUCGCCAGAGAUGGCUUCCUUCCCGCAAGGGGCGAGUGCACAGGUGCUGCAUGGCUGUCGU